rnacentral:rRNA from 1 species
GAUUGAACGCUGGCGGUAUGCUUAACACAUGCAAGUCGAACGGAAACGAUACUAGCUUGCUAGUAGGCGUCGAGUGGCGGACGGGUGAGUAACGCGUAGGAAUCUGCCUGAUAGUGGGGGAUAGCCCGAAGAAAUUCGGAUUAAUACCGCAUAAUCUAUUCGUAGUAAAGUGGGGGACUUUCGAGCCUCACGCUAUCAGAUGAGCCUGCGUAAGAUUAGCUAGUUGGUAGGGUAAAAGCCUACCAAGGCAACGAUCUUUAGCUGGUCUGAGAGGAUGAUCAGCCACAUCGGGACUGAGACACGGCCCGAACUCCUACGGGAGGCAGCAGUGGGGAAUAUUGGACAAUGGGGGCAACCCUGAUCCAGCAAUACCGCGUGUGUGAAGAAGGCCUGAGGGUUGUAAAGCACUUUCAAUUGUGAAGAAAAGUUAACGGUUAAUAACCGUUAGCCUUGACGUUAACUUUAGAAGAAGCACCGGCUAACUCCGUGCCAGCAGCCGCGGUAAUACGGAGGGUGCAAGCGUUAAUCGGAAUUACUGGGCGUAAAGCGUGCGUAGGCGGUUUAUUAAGUCAGAUGUGAAAGCCCCGGGCUUAACCUGGGAACUGCAUUUGAAACUGGUCAACUAGAGUAUGGUAGAGGAAAGUGGAAUUUCUGGUGUAGCGGUGAAAUGCGUAGAUAUCAGAAGGAACAUCAAUGGCGAAGGCAGCUUUCUGGACCAAUACUGACGCUGAGGUACGAAAGCGUGGGUAGCAAACAGGAUUAGAUACCCUGGUAGUCCACGCCGUAAACGAUGAUAACUAGCCGUUGGGGGGAUUUACCCUUUAGUGGCGAAGCUAACGCGUUAAGUUAUCCGCCUGGGGAGUACGGCCGCAAGGUUAAAACUCAAAGGAAUUGACGGGGACCCGCACAAGCGGUGGAGCAUGUGGUUUAAUUCGAUGCAACGCGAAGAACCUUACCUGGUCUUGACAUCCUGCGAACUUUCUAGAAAUAGAUUGGUGCCUUCGGGAACGCAGUGACAGGUGCUGCAUGGCUGUCGUCAGCUCGUGUCGUGAGAUGUUGGGUUAAGUCCCGUAACGAGCGCAACCCCUAUCCUUAUUUGCCAGCACGUCAUGGUGGGAACUAUAAGGAGACUGCCGGUGAUAAACCGGAGGAAGGCGGGGACGACGUCAAGUCAUCAUGGCCCUUACGACCAGGGCUACACACGUGCUACAAUGGGAAGGACAAAGAGCCGCGAAGCCGCGAGGUGUAGCUAAUCUCAGAAACCUUUUCGUAGUCCGGAUUGGAGUCUGCAACUCGACUCCAUGAAGUCGGAAUCGCUAGUAAUCGUAGAUCAGAAUGCUACGGUGAAUACGUUCCCGGGUCUUGUACACACCGC